CCUACGGGAGGCAGCAGUGGGGAAUAUUUCACAAUGGGGGAAACCCUGAUGCAGCAACGCCGCGUGAAGGAAUACGGUUCUCGGAUUGUUAACCUCCUUUCCUGGGGAAGAAUAAUGACGGUACCUGAGCAAGAAGCCCCGGCUAACUACGUGCUAGCCGCCGCGGUAAUACGUAGGGGGCAAGCGUUAUCUGGUUUUACUGGGUGUAAAGGGAGCGUAGACGGGGAUACAAGUCUGAAGUGAAAGACCGGGGCUCAACCCCGGGACUGCUUUGGAAACUGUGUUGCUGGAGUACUGGAGAGGCAAGCGGAAUUCCUGGUGUAGCGGUGAAAUGCGUAGAUAUUAGGAAGAACACCCGUGGCGAAGGCGGCUUGCUGGACAGUAACUGACGUUGAGGCUCGAAAGCGUGGGGAGCAAACAGGAUUAGAUACCCCGGUAGUC
rnacentral:rRNA from 1 species